rnacentral:rRNA from 1 species
CAAUAGCGUAUAUUAAAGUUGUUGCGGUAAAAAAGCUCGUAGUUGGAUUUCUGUUGAGAGCGACCGGUCCAUACCAUGUAUGCGUAUCUGGCUUGCUCUCGGCAUCCUCUCGAUAGACGUUACUGCGCUUGAUUGCGUGGUGCGGAUCUCGGGACUUUUACUUUGAGGAAAUUAGAGUGUUCACGGCAGGCUUUCGCCAGAAUACAUUAGCAUGGAAUAAUACUAUAGGAUCUUGGUUCUAUUUUGUUGGUUUCUAGAAUUGAGACAAUGAUUAAUAGGGACAAUUGGGGGCAUUCGUAUCAACACGUCAGAGGUGGAAUUCUUGGAUUGUGUUGCGACGAACUACUGCGAAAGCAUUUGCCAAGGAUGUUUUCAUUGA